GCCGCCGGGCAGCAGCAGCAGCAGGAAUGACAAUCCGAAAGAAGUUGACUGCAGCGAGGUUCAAAACUUGUUUAAGCAAAAAGCUUUUCCCAAAUUAAUACAUAUCUCAGUUAUCUUUCAAACCACAGCAAAAAGUCUGUAAGAACUCCUUGACAAUGCUGAGACACAUUGCAGAAGGCUACUCAACAUGUUUUCAAUGUGUUUUUUCCUGUAAGCCAGGGUUUUGUUCAGAUAGAGAGAUGGAAAUGUGCUUCAACAAGUGAGCAAAGCAGAGCUGAAAUAACAGAACCCAUAAGAAGGGCACAGCACUACAGUAUUGGAUCUGGUACGUCUCUUCUGACAGUGCUACUACUUCCUCCUCCACCUCCAUCAGCAGAUGCUGACAACAGCACAAGUGCAAUCACUUUCCACGUGGACAACAGUCAGUAAAAUGGGUCUCCUUAGGAGCAGUGAACUCAACAUUUUAACCUGGAUUUUUUAAAUCACCGUUAAACAGAAAAAUACGAAGACCACAGAAGAAAAGCAGCACUUGGUUAUGUAAUGGUUGUGGCGUGACAAAACUUGACAAGUGGGAUGCUGACUUUGAAUGGCUCAUUUGCCAUCAGUGACGGCCCCAGUGUGAUGCUGAAGUUCCCCAGAUUGACAGUACUUGUGGAGGAAGCAACCUGACUACCCCACUACCAGGUUUGCAUGGCCUCUGCUCAAAGCUGAUAAAGACAAAACGUUAAAAAUGAAAUCUACAAAAAGCCUAAUGUCCCUGUACGUUAGGAGCUUAGGUUAGAAAUUCCUUGAGAAGGAAGGCUUCUGGAGGCCUUUGGUUUGAGAAGCACACGGUGAAUUUGAGAUAGAAAAGACAUUCAACUUCCACGUUCCAUAUAAACAGAUUCAUAACAGAGCAGCCCCAGGAGAUCAGGAUUCGACACAGUUGUAGCCUCUAAAUGAAGGUUCCACAGCACGAGUGCUGUGCUAUGGCUGCACGUGUUUUAUUUAGUUUAGUGUAGUGACCCUCCAGUAAUCAGUGCAGCAUUUAAACUGAGAGCUGUGGUUCCCACUAUUUUUUCAAAGCUUGUAAUUGCAAACACUUCAAAAUGAUUUAUGGGUACCAUUCCUUUAUCCACCUCCCUCACUUUAUUUUUCCCCAUUGGCAGACACGUGUAACUUUUUUCUGACUUUACUAGAUUUCAUUAGCUGAAAAUCUCUUCUUACAGGGCAAAUGCUUAAUAAUACCAGGUAUU
ensembl:lncRNA